rnacentral:rRNA from 1 species
GAGGAAUAAGCAUCGGCUAACUCCGUGCCAGCAGCCGCGGUAAUACGGGGGAUGCAAGCGUUAUCCGGAAUCAUUGGGCGUAAAGCGCCUGUAGGUUGUUUAAUAAGUCUGUUGUUAAAGACUAGGGCUCAACCCUAGGAAAGCAAUGGAAACUACUAGACUAGAGUAUGGCAGGGGCAGAGGGAAUUUCUAGUGUAGCGGUGAAAUGCGUAGAUAUUAGAAAGAACACCGGUGGCGAAAGCGCUCUGCUGGACCAUUACUGACACUCAGAGGCGAAAGCUAGGGUAGCAAAAGGGAUUAGAUACCCCUGUAGUCCUAGCCGUAAACGAUGGAUACUAGAUGUUGUGCAUAUCGUACAGUAUCGAAGCUAACGCGUUAAGUAUCCCGCCUGGGGAGUACGCUCGCAAGGGUGAAACUCAAAGGAAUUGACGGGGGCCCGCACAAGCGGUGGAGCAUGUGGUUUAAUUCGAUGCAACGCGAAGAACCUUACCAGGGCUUGACAUACUACAAAUUCUUUAGAGAUAAAGAAGUGCCUUCGGGAAUGUAGAUACAGGUGGUGCAUGGCUGUCGUCAGCUCGUGUCGUGAGAUGUUGGGUUAAGUCCCGCAACGAGCGCAACCCUUAUUUUUAGUUACUAAUUCGUUAGGUUCUCUAGAAAGACUGCCGGUGACAAACCGGAGGAAGGUGAGGAUGACGUCAAGUCAGCAUGCCCCUUAUGCCCUGGGCUACACACGUGCUACAAUGGUUAAGACAAAGAGUCGCGAGCUCGCGAGAGUCAGCUAAUCUCAUAAACUUAGCCUAAGUUCAGAUUGUAGGCUGCAACUCGCCUGCAUGAAG